rnacentral:lncRNA from 1 species
UAAAGACAAUUAAGCCCACAUUUAUUUAUUUUUUUUUGUCGUCUAGAUUUAUUAUUAAUUGCAAAUUAUGAGAAUUGUUACAUAGACGAUUCUACAACUGACAAUUCCUUCCGACCCUUAUUAGAUUCACGACAGACUACACUUCUUUCUUCGUAAUCUUGAUGAAUACCUUCAAUGAUCCACGACCUGUCGACACUUCCUUCUCUGCGUAGAAUCCUGACGAACGGCUAUAAUUGUACAUCGUUGGAGAUCUCUUGCACACUUGCCUCCAUCAAUCUGCAAAUUUGUUAAUAAAUCGCAAUACCUGGGACUCGAACCCCAGACUUUUUUGGUGUAGAAGCAUUAAUCAACCUUUAGUCAAC